GACGAACGCUGGCGGCGUGCUUAACACAUGCAAGUCGAACGAUGAAGCCGGAGCUUGCUCUGGUGAAUUAGUGGCGAACGGGUGAGUAACACGUGAGUAACCUGCCCUUGACUCUGGGAUAACUGCUAGAAAUGGUAGCUAAUACCGGAUACGACCCUCGGAGGCAUCUCCAGGGGGUGGAAAGAAUUUCGGUCAAGGAUGGACUCGCGGCCUAACAGCUAGGAGGAGAGGCAAAGGCCCACCAAGGCGACGACGGGGAGGCGGCCUGAGGGGGUGACCGGCCACAAGGGGACUGAGCCACGGCCCAAACCCCUACGGGAGGCAGCAGUGGGGAAUAUUGCACAAGGGGCGAAAGCCUGAGGCAGAAACGCGGCGUGAGGGAGGACGGCCUUCGGGUUGUAAACCUCUUUUAGUAGGGAAGAAGCGAAAGGGACGGUACCUGCAGAAAAAGCCCCGGCUAACUACGUGCCAGCAGCCGCCGUAA
rnacentral:rRNA from 1 species